CACGUUGAUAACUCUGUCUUAUUAAACAUAAUUUUUGUGCCGUGCAACCCACCCGUUUACACUACAGAAGUCAGUGGGGUCUCUUCUAGCUGCCACGCAGCGGUGCGCUCCUCACCACCAUCAAGUUCUAGAACAUCUUCAUCACUGCAGAACGAAACCCUGUAACCAUCAGGCGGCUCUCUCAUUCCCAGCCGCUCGCCGACUGGCUUUCUGUGUCUCCGGGUUUACCUAUUCCGGACGCUCCAUAUAAAUGGAAUCAGACGCUAUGCAGCCUUCUGCGUCCGGCUUCUUUCACUGAGCAUCGUGUUUCCACGGUUUGUUCACGUUCAGCAGGUGCCAGACCCCAUUCCUUCUUAUGGCUGAACGGUUUACACUCACAGCGCUUCAGACACCAGGUGGGUGGGGGUUUUUCAUCACCGACGACCAAUUCUCCAACGCUCAGGACACCAGCUGGGGGUCCUACAGCUCAACUCGGUCCGGACACUAACUACUGGAGUUAGUGCGCAGCCACAGACACAGAGUCAGGGUAUCACGUAAGGAUCUCUGCCUGGGGCUGCGUCAGCAUCCACACGCCCCCCCACCAUCUGGGUAACCCUAACCUAGGAAAAGUGCCCAGGGGGCGUGUGUGUGGGCCCACUUCCAGGGGACUGGCAGAGGAGGGGGCAGAGGGUGGAAGGAGACACCCGUUCCUCCCCCCACCCCACCCCCCGCCCUUUCUGCAUCCAUGACCUUCCUCAGACUCCAGGUCACCUUGAUGGCAGCACAGAGUCCUGCUGGGGGCAGGAAGUGUCGUGUGUUAAUUUUCUGCUGCUGUCAGCAAAUUACCACACGUUUGGUGAGUUAAAAAACAACAAAAAGUUUAUUAUCCUACUUUUCUACAGAUGAGAAAUCUGCAAUCAUUCUCACUGGGCUAAAGCCAAGGAGUCAGCAGGGUCAGCGCCUUCGGGAGUCCCGUAGAGAGACUGUCCUUGCCCUCUGCAGCUUCCGGGGCCUGCCCUCCUUGGCUGGUGGUCCCUCACCGUCAGCGGACCGCACCCCUCCUGUCUGCGCGGUGGGUGGCUGCAUGGCCUCCUUCUCAGUGUCCCUGGGCCCCGCAUCUCCCCCUCCUCUCUUAUUAGGACACCGUCACUGAAUCCCGGGCCCACCUUAAACCCAAGAGGACCCCAUCUUGAGAUCCUUAACUGAAUUACAUCGGGAAAGACCCUUUUCUGUACUUCCUGGUUGUUCGCAGUCACAAGUCGAGGCCCGGGAAACCCCAGAGCAGUGACCGCCACGGCCUGCCAUCCCCGAGGCCGGUCAUCCGAGCGCCGGCGAGGUGUGGCGUCCAAUACCGCUGUCAUGAGGACGACGCCCAAGGUGGGCCUCACCCGGGCAGGUGAAGCGCACUCUCUCUCCUGCGGCCCAGCGGCCGGCCUGAGGGCACCGCGCCCUACCAGAUCUACGCAGACAGGACGUUAAUGAGUAUGGGUUUUCUUUGGGGGAUGGUGAGGAUGUUCUGGAAUCAGUGGUGAUGGUUGCACAGCCCUGUAAACAUACUAAGAACCACUGAAUUGUGCUCUCAAAAGGGUAAAUGUUACAGUAUAUAAAUUAUAUCUCAACUUUUUAAAUGACAAAGAAAUAAUAAAAUUGUAGCACCGCUGGGCCAUAGAUGCCUGACCUAAGCUGGUCAGUUAGGUCUGUCUCCAGAGAGCCUGGACAGAAGCUACGUGGAGACAGGGCGGAGCCCCCAGACCUCCCUGUGGGGGAGGCCACGGUCCCAUUGUCUCUUGAGACUUGGAGCCAGGCUGCAUCUUGAAGUUUCCCAGCUUCCUUUCUCUGCUCUGUCUCUGUUUAAAGCAGCUGGAAACCUGAACUGACCCGCAGGUGCUGGGCCUGAGUCCUGCUGCCACCCACAGGGACAGCCCGAGCAAGGCCGCUGUGGUCCCGGCAGAGCUCUGCUCUUCACUGGGAUGCCUCCCUGUUCUCAUCUGGGUGGGGGGAGCAGCACCCUGCAAUUUAGGGCUGGGGCAGGAUCACAUCCAGCACAGAGCAGCUCCCAGGAAAGAUCCAAGGAAAAACAGGGGGCCCCUGAUACAGGCAGAGGCCAGGGGUGGACAGAGAACAGAUAGCCUGCCAUGUCCCAAGGGUCAAAUGCCCAGAGUAUCUCCAGCCUAUGGCCUGAGGGUCGGGGUAGGGGGAUGGUCCUGUUCCAGCAGCCGUGGUCCAUUCUCUGGGCUCCACUCCCACAACUCCCUUUGUCUCCACCUCUGAGCCUCUUGGAGCAGUUCCCUACCAGGCAGGGGGAAGGACUUAAGUUAGACAUGAGAAGAAACUUUCAUCUUCAUAGGGGAAAGGGAAGUCAAGGGAAAAGCUACAGGGGAGAAGUCCGCAGGGCCUUGGGCUGCAGGAACAGAGCAGGGCCUGGGGAUGGUACAGCUGCGAGUCCCUCCUUGGUCCCUGCCACUGCACAGGCCUCCAUGGACCCCCACUUGGGGCUUCCAGAGCUUGCUACAGCCUCCCACCUCCUAGCCUUUCUACAUGUCGUUCCCUUUGCCUGGAAUGCUUUUCCAUCCCACCUGCAUGAAUACUUAACACUUGCAGAUUCAGCUGAGGCACCUGCUCCUCCAGGAAGCCUCCCCUGCCCUUCUCAGGUGAUCAUUCACAUCACACAGCCAUUCAGGGGACACAUAGUUAUGAGCUCUCCACUGCAGGCAGAGCACUUGUCCCUGUGUAUGUAGGGCCUGUAUUAGAGCUCUUCCGGGUCAUCCUGUCCCCAGACUCUGCUAUGUCCCCUGCCCAAAGCUGAAUGCAUGGCAUUCACCGAUAACCUUUAGCAAGAGAGCACUGAGUGGGGGGCUGAUAGGAAGCCAGAUGUCAGUAGGUUGGUAGCAGGUGAAGUGGUGUAGAUAUGGUGCGUGGCUCACUGUAUCUAGAAGCUUAGAUUUGAAAGGAAAGAGAGGGAACCAGAGAGGGCAACAGAGCAGUGGCAAAGGUUUUUCUUGAUAUGGGAGAGACCUGAAUGGGUAUCCAGUCUAAGGGAAGAAUGCUAGCAGAGAGGGAGAAGUGAACAACAGAGGGUGGGAGAGCACCAAGGAGUGCAUUACUGCUUCUUAAAAACUUCAGAAAGUGGUGAGAGCUUCCUGAGAGGCUAGUGGGGCGAAGCCCACAGCCUUCAUUCCUCCAUCUAUUCAUUUAUUGCCUUAUUGCAUUGAGUCUUCACUACUCUAGGAGGUGUGUACUAUUAUCAUUCCUUUUAUUAAAUGAGGUAACUAAGGCACAGAGAGGUUAAGAAGUUUUCCAGGUCACACAGCAAGUAAGUGGUAAACCUGGGAUAAUAUUCCAAACCUAAUCUUUUAAUUCUAGUGGAAUUCAAACUGACAAGAUUCAAGGAAUCAAGACAGGAAAAGAUAGACCGGUAAGAAACAAUGGUGCAAAAUGAGCAAAACAAAUUAAUCAAGCCUAAAUGAUUGUUUGAAAGUGGUUGUAGAGUAAGUGCAAUUGUUUGGAAAGGAUUUCUGAAACAGAAAAGACAUAUGUUUACAGAAGAAAUUAAUUAUCUGGAAAUGAAAUUCUAUACUAUUUCAACAAACCCUAUAGUGAAACAGAGAAAAUAAAAUGCCAAAGAUUUUGUUUGAUUCAGGGAGGAAGACAUUGGAAAAAUGUUUAAUUCUUGGUGAAAUAUAGAUUUUUAUUAGCAGUUAGUGAAAACUAUUAACCUAAAAUAAAGGGGCAAAUUACUGAAGGGGGAAUGGGAGGGUAGAAAACCUGUUCAGCCUAGAAAGAAUUACAACAGGAAAUGAUGGAUCAGUGUAUUAAUCAGAACAUGCAAAAUAAGACCAAGCACAUGGCUGAUAAUAAUAAAUGUAAAUGAGUUAAAUUCCCCAAUUAAAGAACAGGAUUCUCACAAUGAGAAGGCACACUAAACCCAAGUAAAUCCUGUUAACAGGAACCCAGCCACAACAAAUUACCUAGAGAGCUAAGAAUAAAGAGAGAGGUGAACAAAGACAUAAAGAAGGUGGAGUAGCAGUAUUAAUACCAGAAAAAUAGAACAUAAAACAAAAGAUAUUAAGUGGUAAAAGAGUCUUUCUUUUUUUUUAAUUUAAUUUAUUUUUUAAUUUUAGUAUUAUUUUUUAUUUUGGUAUCAUUAAAGUAAUAUCACAAUUACUUGAACAACAUUAUGGCUACUAGACUACCCCUAUUAUCAAGUCUGAGUCUUUCUUUUUUUUAACGUUAAUUAAAAAUACAACUGUGUACAAUAUAUAAUGAACUGUUGUGUUCUCCACUAUAUAACAUCAACACACACAACUCAACUGUUAGAAAUACACAGAAUCAUUGUGGGAGACUUUAUUACACCUUCUUUUGAACUUUACGAAUCAAGUAGAUUUUUUUUUGUCAGUAAAGGUAUAAUUCGAACAGCACAGUUAACAAGUUCUAUUUUAUAUAACAGUAUUUUGGCAAGAUCAGAGGAAAUGAUUAGGCAGAAAAGUGGCCUUCGGCAACACUGCCCCCUGGAGGUGCUCUGAGGCUCACUCCACCACAGCUUGAGGUCCUCUAAGGCCACCCUAACCCACAUGAAUAGAGGCCUGAAGAGCCAUCAAUAGAGGGUCUUGGGACAAAGCUGGACAUCCUGACAACCUAGAAAUUGAAAGGUAAAUGUGUAAGUCAUGGGUAUCUUUAUUAUCUUGAUUGCAGUGAUGAUACAUAUGUCAAAUUUUACCAAAUUAUACACUUUAACAAUUUGCAGUAAUUGGAUGUGAAUUAGACCACAUUAAAGCUGUUUCUGAAAUAUCUAAGCACUUACAGUGACAAAAAGCAGGUCAGUGGUAGCCAGCAACUAGAGGUGCAGGGAGGGAAUUACCACAAAGUGGCACAAGGGAAUUUAGGGGUGAUAUAAAAUGUUUUAUAUCAUGAGUAUGAUGGUGGUUAAAUGACUGUAUUUGUCAAAACUCACCAAUUGUAUAGUUAAAAUGGAUGAAUGUUAUUGUAUGUAAAAUAUGCUUCAGUAAAGCUGAUCUUUAAAAAUCUAA